GUAUUACUGACCCAUUUACAAAUCGGUGCCCAAAAGAAUAUAGUCUGCGGACCUGAAAGGGAAAAAAUAGGUCGAUACUACCAUUACUACAGCACGUACCACGGCGAACGAAGACGGAUGUACGGUCGCGCGAUCGUCAAAUCUGCCAUGUAAACCUCCCCAGCGUAUAUACAUCCUCGACUAGGCACCCCUCAGCACGUUGGCCUUCUUCCGCGAGAAUGCUAAUUAACAAUUGGCAAUUGGCAGGCGGUACAAGGCGAAACCGUAAAACGGUACGUUGGCACGGGCUAACAAGGCGUGAAGGGUGAUUUAGCUGGUGACGUCAGGGUGUACAGAGAAUAUUCGAGGUUCCCGAAGAGGUCGGCAACGAAGAGACGAUCGCACGAGUUCCAUAGAACUGCAAUAACCAGGAUAAGGACGGAAAGAGAGACAGAUCCCCGCAGGCUCGUAAACUGGCGCAAUGGCUCUGAGAAGGGGCAGGUUUCGCUGGGGCCAAAAAGCGGACGGAGGUCGUCAAUGUUGAUGAUGCGUGGAUCACGAUGUACUGACGGCUCCAUCAUAGCUCGCUGUUCUCUGCUUCACCCCUCUGUCGAUCGGCCAGCACCGUGCCAUUCUAUGGGAAGAUAUACCACCUCAGCGAAGCCUAUUCCAUUUGCUUUAUUGAAAUAACUCGGAGAACGGCGCGCGUUGUCGACGCGUCGCCGAUGCGAGGGUGGUCGAUUUCGUACCAACGAUUUUCGACCAUCUACUCUCUCAGGGAUUGUCUCCCGUUACGAAAAAUAGCACCCACGAAUAUUCAUCUCUUCAGAAAAAAAGAAAAAAAGGAAAUGGCACACUGACCAUCGAAAUGAUAAAAAUUAUAUUCAUUCAUUAUUUUCGCAAAGAAAUCAGUAUAAAGAAGAAAGAAGAAGGAACGACGUUAUCGUCGAACGUUAAUAUCUCUAUCGAAGAAGGGAAAAAAUGAAGUAUCGAUGAGCAUGUCUGUCAGCUUUCCCGAUGAAACCAGGUGGACGCCUAGGGGAAUAGUAACUACGGUAAACGACGGUAACUCGUGCCGGUACAUCCAUGUGUUCCUUCCCCUCUUGCUUACUGCUGAGCUAUUUACGGGCUGACGAUGAAAACGAGUUUCACCGCAUUACGAUUAACCUGGACGUAAUUAUAAUUAACCUUGGAUAUCGGCGAACUUCCGUGGUCUAGGAAGUACAGCUGCCGUCUCCUUGCAUAUUAUGUACAUGCGAAAGUCGUUAACAUCCAGCAACAGCAGCAAAACCGGAAAUGUUAAAGCGCGUGUCAGCCGGGAUCGUUGCGAUCGUAAGAAAAACUGAUCCCGUGUAAAUAAACUGUAACUUAGAAAAUGAAACUGCGAAUGAACGUCCAGAAAUGUUACGAGAUUAAUCGCUCGAAAAGGUUCCGUGAGAAGAGAAUAAAUAUGUGUACAAAGCA